rnacentral:rRNA from 1 species
CCUACGGGUGGCAGCAGUGGGGAAUAUUGCACAAUGGGGGAAACCCUGAUGCAGCGACGCCGCGUGAGUGAAGAAGUAUUUCGGUACGUAAAGCUCUAUCAGCAGGGAAGAAAAUGACGGUAUCUGACUAAGAAGCCCCGGCUAACUACGUGCCAGCAGCCGCGGUAAUACGUAGGGGGCAAGCGUUAGCCGGUUUAACUGGGUGGAACGGGCGUGGAGGCGGGAAAGCAAGUCAGAUGUGAAAACCAUGGGCUUAACCUGUGGACUGCAUUUGAAACUGUUUUUCUUGAGUACUGGAGAGGGAGACAGAAUUCCUAGUGUAGCGGUGAAAUGUGUAGAUAUUAGGAGGAAUACCAGAGGCGAAGGCGGUCUGCUGGAAAGCAACUGACGCUGAGGCGCGAAAGCGUGGGGAGCAAACAGGAUUAGAUACCCCUGUAGUC